rnacentral:precursor_RNA from 15 species
UUAUUUAAUCAUUUUAAGUUGGUCAACGUUUGAGAGUUCAAAAGAUUUAGCAAUUUUAUACGAGUGAAAUUGAAAUCUCUUCAACUUUCAGACGUUUUCUGAUUUAUUAGCAAGGUAAAAAG